rnacentral:lncRNA from 1 species
UUUUCCUCAAGCCUCACGGCCCUGGGAUUCAGUAAUAGCUCUUUGAGAAGGGACAAUUUCAGCACUGUUGCUAGUGAGAACAGGAAAUGCUAGUGACGGUUUUGUCUGAGCACAUGCUGUCUCAGUUCGUGUUGUGAGGCAUUUUAUGCUAUUGUUUAAUUCUCUUUUCUCCUGCCUUGCGGUAUUUUGGACUCAUGGAGUCCUUUUCUAUGUCAGAUAAAAAUAAAGCCGGUCGCCGCCAGGUGUAAGACUUGACAGUAAGGUUGACAGUGAUCAGAAGCUUUAGCUUUUCUUAUGGGUCUGUAUCAUCUUAAUUACACAUUUUAUUUUAAUGAAUACUGAAUGAUAAUAUUAAUACUAGUCUGAGAUCAAUGUAUUUAACACUGCGUUAAGAAAUGCACACUCUCUGUAGCUGUUUCUGUCAGCAAACACUGGGCAGUGUCACUGCCUUGCAGUGUCUAGAGCUCCAGCUCCCAGCUGGAGGUGGUCGGCUGCUUUACUCCUGUAAGUGUCACUGUGAACGAUAGGCAGGCAAAGGCAAGAAAAGAGGGGGGUGGCAGAUGGCGGGGGAAUAAAACAGUAAAGUUCUGCGGCCUUGUUUGUUUUGGCUAGUUCUUGUCCUAAGCACAUGGAAAUACUUUGCACAUUUGAGAAUUUUGAGCUUCUACCGUAAAUCACUCAUAUAACAGAAACACAAUUAAAUUAUUCUGUUGGGACUUUUCGUUUGUGGUGCUUCCUUUGUCAUAAGUAAAUAAUUUUCUUCUUUCAAAUCAUAUUCUUGAUAAUAUAUUUGGAGCAUCAAAAGCACAGAUUUAAAUUGGGUAGUACAGCUAAUAUAAAUAAUGAUUUAUUUAUCUAACAUUUCCUUGUUAUUCAUAGUUUUUUGCUAUAAAAAUAAAUGUUAUUACUGGGAAGAGACUUAAUAUAUUUACUAAAAGUCAAUGUAAUGAAUUGUUUACAACUACCUGUGUUCCUAGAUUUCAUGUAUAUUAAUUGGUAUAAUAAGUUUUAAGACUAGAAACCAUGUUCUAGUGUUGAGUGCAUUUGCAUGUAUAUAUGCAAUAUGGGCAUUAUUAAUCACCCCACUUGUUAUUGAUGUGUUCACUAAGUACAAGAUAUAGGGGGAAGGCAGAGUGAAAGUACAAGCCUGCACGUUAUUUGUUUAGCUAUGUUUUAUUUUAGCAGUGUGUCUCUUGUGUCGAACAGGUUAAGCAUGAGAGAGAUCAGCCAAGACUGGAUCCAGGACCAUCCCUUUCUGAACAAGUCUAUUGUGCAUGGUAGUAGGUCCUGCAUUGCUGUGCUGUGCAUGGUAGUAGGUCCUGCAUUGCUGUGCUGCACACAGCUCUUUUGAAUGAAGAUUAUUGGCAUUGAUAAGGCUUUGUAAAAUAAUUUUUUAAAUUCCAAAUUACUAAUUUUAGUUUAGGGAUUAUAGCUGCAGAUGUAAUUACAAUUUCUGAUACAAGCUCAGUGUUCCUGGAAAUGGUAAGUGAUUACACUUCUUCUUGGCUAUUUCAAGUUCUAGAAGAGUUCCACUACCCUUUCCUCAAAGGUUGUCAAGCUAGUUCCUUGUGUCCUACAUGGUAACGAAUUGUACAUUUCUCAUAGGAGCAUCUGUGUUGGGAAUGAGAAGUAGUAGAGAAUAAUUAGUCUCAUUUUUUUUUUUUAGUCGGAUAGUACAAGCAGUAGAACCUGAACCCCCAUUUAUAGAAGACAGAGUUGUGAUGGCCAUACGGCUUCACAGUCACAUUGUGCGGGUUCAGAUUCUGGCGCUGUGACUUAAAGCCUAUGGGACCUGACAGAUAACCUUGGUCAUCUUUACACUGUACCUUGCAGUGUGCUGUUCAUAGGAUCCUUUCCAUAUCUUAUUUGGCAUUACUGUGUUGGAGGAUUAAACCUCUUAGUCCUGUGUUUUGAAUGUCUGAAGAAGUGUUUCAGAGUGUAGAUAGUCUAAAAUGAGCUGGACUCAGAGAUGAAAGAAUGUAAUCUUAACAUUGCUGUAUUUGAAGCACUUUUCAAACCCAAUGGUAACUACUGCUAAUAUUUGUAUAUCAUGCUAACUUAGUGAUAAAUUAUGUAAACUGUACAUAUUCUAAAAUACCUAUUUAGAUCUUCUGCAGUGUUCUUGUCUGUACCUGAAAUUUAUGUUUUUGAAGUCUUUAUAACAGC